CCUACGGGUGGCAGCAGUGGGGAAUAUUGGACAAUGGGGGGAACCCUGAUCCAGCGACGCCGCGUGAGUGAAGAAGUAUUUCGGUAUGUAAAGCUCUAUCAGCAGGGAAGAAAAUGACGGUACCUGACUAAGAAGCCCCGGCUAACUACGGGCCAGCAGCCGCGGUAAUAAGGAGGGGGCAAGCGUUAUCCGGAUUUACUGGGGGUAAAGGGAGCGUAGACGGGGGAGCAAGGCAGAUGUGAAAGGUCGGGGCCCAACCCCGGGACUGCAUUGGAAACUGUUGAACUGGAGUACAGGAGAGGUAAGCGGAAUUCCUAGUGUAGCGGUGAAAUGCGUAGAUAGUAGGAGGAACACCAGUGGCGAAGGCGGAUUGCUGGACUGUAACUGACGUUGAGGCUCGAAAGCGUGGGGAGCAAACAGGAUUAGAUACCCUUGUAGUC
rnacentral:rRNA from 1 species